UAGACAUCAUGUCAUUUACAUCAGUUAAGAUUUCACCCGAUGUAAAUUAUUUUUCUAACAUCAGUUCUUGAAAAACCGAUUUCUAUUAAUACAAUUAACAUCGUUUUUUAUUUUCAACCGAUGUCUACAUUUUUUUUCAAAAUUUUGAAAAAACGCGGAAAUAACUAAGUAUAAAAUUUUGGAAGCGCGGAACCAAAAUUUCAUUCCCCCCAAGGCUUAGUCAGUUUUCCCACAACUAUGUUUUCCUACCCUUCGUCAAUUUUCAUUCUCAAAACCUAACCACCGCGACAGCCGUCCAGCAACCAACAUCCUCUUCCUCCUUCUCCGCCUUCGACCGUCCCCCUCCUUCUUCUCUUCCUUGUCCGUCUCUGACCGUUCUCCAGUUUGAAGCCGAAGCCCUCCCAAUCAGCAAGGACGAAAUCCGAAGACACAGACCAUCCUUAUCACCCCCAAAACACAUAUUGCAGUCGCCGUCUCUUCUUUCUCUCUCCAUGGGCCUCUCCAUCUCAGCCCCUCUCUUCGACCAUCGAGGCGUCGACGGCCCUCGCUCUCCUCGUCAGUAACUCGCUUUUGAGCCCUACAAGGUCAGCAAAGUGGAUCUUCUUGCCCAAAGUUGCUCUUUAUGGCUCUUAAUUUGGGGGUGCUCGACACUUGGUGUCUGGAAGCUUAACACAUUGGGGUUCCUUCCUACACAUGCAUCCGAUUGGGUUUCAUCCUUACCCCCUGCUCAGGUUAAGAGCAAGCUUAAAGGUCACUCUAAAAGGAUAACUGGCCUAGCAUUCUCUCAUGUAUUAAAUGUGCUAGUUUCAUCAGCAGCAGAUGCUCAGGCACACCUAAUCAGAUCUUGUUCUUAUGUAGUUUUACUACUAUGAUAGUAGUCCAAAAUCUAAUCAGACGCCCAGAUAUCUUUCCUGCAAAAAAUCUCAUAUGUAUAACCGAGGAAAGAUAAUAUAUUUAACAGGCAUACAAAUUACCAAAACUCGCAGAUUAUUGGGAAAUCUAAGGUCUAUAUACAGUUGUUAUAGGACAAAUGUGCUUUAGUUUCCUAUUCUACAUGCAUUUGUUUACCUAAGGUCUAUAUACACUUGUUCACAGCAUUUCCAGUGCCUCCAUAUUGAAAAUUUAAUUGAGUAGAUUGUGAAAUCUGUAAUUACCAUGAUAAAAUUAUUAUUUCUCAGUUAUCAGGUAUGUUUGUGAGGCAAAACUAACAUGCAGUUUGAUUAUGAUUCCUCCUCUUCUUCAGGUUUGUGUGUGGAAUUCUGAUGGAUGGGAAAAACAGAAAAGCAGAUUCUUGCAGCUUCCAGCUGGGAGAACACCAUCUUCAGUGUCAGAUACUCACGUUCAGUUUCAUCAGGAUCAGGCACAUUUCUUGGUUGUGCAUGAGACUCAGCUGGCCAUAUUUGAAACAACAAAACUAGAGAGUGUAAAGCAGCAGGAUUUAAUACAUCAAGGGCAGAAGGGUAACUAAGGUAAUAGAAAUCCUAGAAUGACAGCAACACAGUACAGGUUUUGCCACAUUCAGCCAAAACCAAGAUUGUAGUUAUAACUUUCCCGCUCUCACCAAAACCGCUUAUUCCUAAGCAAAAGACAGCCUUUUCUUUGCCACGAGUCGCAAUAAGGUUUUGCUAUGUCACUUCCACUCAUAUACAAUCAGAUUUUUUUCUUCUUUUGGUCAAAGCUGUAGAUUUUUGAGAAUUGUUGAUGAGUACUUGGUGGUUCUUCUUCUUCCAAGGCUUUUCUGAACCCAAGUGUUGAGAAAAACAAGAAGGGGCAAGAGACCUAGAAAGGGAGGCAACCGAUUCUGGAAGAGUAUUGGGCUGCGCACCAAGCCCCACAGGGAUGCCUCUUGGGAAAAUCUAAUUAGCAGUCUUGAUGGGAAAAUCUGCAGUUCACUUUUUCAACUACAAACUGAAAGAAGCUUCUUGGGAAAGAGGAAGAAUUGAGAAAGCCUCCGAAGGGGUAUGAAUUCGUUGGGUUAUUGCCAUGGAGAAAAUUUGUAAAACAGAGGAGUAUAGAACAAUGGCUGGUAUGAUGAGUUUGUAUAUGUAUAAGCACUACUACAAAAAUUGAAUCAGACGACACCUCUCAGACGACGCAUCAUAGUUUUCUGUCGUCUGAUUGAUUAUUAUUUUUUUGUACGUCGCUUUUAUAAAACCUGUCGUCUGAUAUGGUAUAAUGAACUAGUUCAGAAGACGUUUAAGGAUAAAACUGUUGUAUGACCCUAAAAUAAUUGAGCGGCAA